rnacentral:rRNA from 1 species
UACGAAGGGGGCUAGCGUUGCUCGGAAUCACUGGGCGUAAAGGGCGCGUAGGCGGCCACCGCAAGUCAAUUGUGAAAUCUCCGGGCUUAACUCGGAAAGGUCAACUGAUACUGUCGGGCUAGAGUACGGAAGAGGCAAGUGGAAUUCCUGGUGUAGCGGUGGAAUGCGCAGAUAUCAGGAGGAACACCUAUAGCGAAGGCAGCUUGCUGGGACGUUACUGACGCUAAGGCGCGAAAGCGUGGGGAGCGAACAGG